rnacentral:rRNA from 1 species
GGACUACCAGGGUUUCUAAUCCUGUUUGAUCCCCACGCUUUCGGGUCUCAGUGUCAAUGUUGGGCCAGGUAGCCGCCUUCGCCACCGGUGUUCCUCCAGAUAUCUACGUAUUUCACCACUACACCUGGAAUUCCACUACCCUCUCCCACAUUCAAGCUCUGCAGUAUCAAAAGCACUUCCCGGGUUAAGCCCGGGGCUUUCACUUCUGACUUAUAGAGCCACCUACACCCGCUUUACGCCCAAUGAUUCCGAACAACGCUUGGACCCCUCGUCUUACCGCGGCUGCUGGCAC